UACGUAGGGUGCGAGCGUUAAUCGGAAUUACUGGGCGUAAAGCGUGCGCAGGCGGUGAUGUAAGACAGAUGUGAAAUCCCCGGGCUCAACCUGGGAACUGCAUUUGUGACUGCAUCGCUGGAGUGCGGCAGAGGGGGAUGGAAUUCCGCGUGUAGCAGUGAAAUGCGUAGAUAUGCGGAGGAACACCGAUGGCGAAGGCAAUCCCCUGGGCCUGCACUGACGCUCAUGCACGAAAGCGUGGGGAGCAAAAGGG
rnacentral:rRNA from 1 species